GGGGCUGAUUCUGGAUUCGACGGGAUUCGCGAAACCCAAGGUGCAUGCCGAGGUGCGGAGGCCUCGUAAAAAACCGCAAAAAAAUAGUCGCAAACGACGAAAACUACGCACUAGCAGCUUAAUACCCUGCUUAGAGCCCUCUCUCCCUAGCCUCCGCUCUUAGGACGGGGAUCAAGAGAGGUCAAACCUAAAAGAGCUCGUGUGGAAGCCUUGCCUGGGGUGGAAACAUUAAAAAUAAUCAGGAUAGUUUGUCAGUGGCGUGUCCAUCCGCAGCUGGCCGGCGAAUGUAAUGAUUGGACUAAGCAUGUAGUGCCGACGGUGUAGUAAUUUCGGACGGGGGUUCAAAUCCCCCCAGCUCCACCA
rnacentral:tmRNA from 1 species